AUUGAACGCUGGCGGCAUGAUUUACACAUGCAAGUCGAACGGUAACAGGCCGCAAGGUGCUGACGAGUGGCGCACGGGUGAGUAAUGCAUCGGAACGUGCCCAGUCGUGGGGGAUAACUACUCGAAAGAGUAGCUAAUACCGCAUACGAUCUAUGGAUGAAAGCGGGGGACCGUAAGGCCUCGCGCGAUUGGAGCGGCCGAUGUCAGAUUAGGUAGUUGGUGGGGUAAAGGCUCACCAAGCCAACGAUCUGUAGCUGGUCUGAGAGGACGACCAGCCACACUGGGACUGAGACACGGCCCAGACUCCUACGGGAGGCAGCAGUGGGGAAUUUUGGACAAUGGGCGCAAGCCUGAUCCAGCAAUGCCGCGUGCAGGAAGAAGGCCUUCGGGUUGUAAACUGCUUUUGUACGGAACGAAACGGCUCUGGUUAAUACCCGGGGCUAAUGACGGUACCGUAAGAAUAAGCACCGGCUAACUACGUG
rnacentral:rRNA from 1 species